GCGCCCGUAGCUCAGUUGGUUAGAGUGCAUGCUUGACAUGCAUGAGGUCGCUGGUUCGAGUCCAGCCGGGCGCAC
rnacentral:tRNA from 1 species